ACCAUAUAUUAUUGGAAAAAAUACUGAACAUCCAUGCCUUCAUGGCCCCCCUCUAGUUUGGUGCAUAAAUCAGAGGUACAAAGAGAUACUAAACAUUACAUAACAAGAUAUUUGAUUUCUUUAAAAAAUCAUGCAUAAAGAAACCGUGACCAUGUCUCAAAAAAAUAGUACAAGAACAUUAAACCUUGACAGAAGGAGAUCUAACACUAAAAAGUGAAUGAGCUACCAGAGGCUGAAGGACAUUGGUCAGGAGUUAGGACACAGCGAGGCGCAACAGUGAUCACUCGACCUUGGGUACUAUAGGGACUUCAGGCCUGAAGGACAUUGGUCAUAAGUCAAGACCAUCGGCGUGAAUCUCAUCGGUGUGCAGGGAAGCAUCUAGAGAUGAAGGUCGUUCGUGCCGCCGCCUGGUGGAUUGCUAUAGUUGGAGGAGGGGGGCUCGCCACCGUCUCCUCCUGGCUGUUGUGCCGCCAUUGUCACCUUAUGAUUGGACACGGUGGAUCGAGUUACAUCUAGAAGAAACAAAAUGAAUGUCAUAAUUAGUAAAGAAUUUUCAGCGACAAAAGGAUAAACAAGAAUUGGAAUGUUAAAACAAAACCUGCACCUACACAAGUACUGUAUAUUUUAUAUUAGCACAAGUGCAGAUCAUGUCCCAGUCUUCACUUUGUUUACAAAAAAGUUCAGAAUAGCAAUCUUGGCGAGCCCUAUAAGGAAGCAUUCCAUGAUCUCGGCCGGGUUCCAUCCGCGUGGCGCGCUGCUGAUUGUGUGGUGCUGAUAUUGAACUUAUAAUAAAAUUGAGUUCUAGAAACAAUUCCUACAUUGUCUCAUUAGUAAUCACACCAAGAAUACUUAUCCUCCUAUAGAUCUGACUUGCCUCUGUGUUUUGGUGUGCAGAAAUUGGUUACAGGUAGGAAAUAAUAUAACUAAUCGGUAUCUUGAGUUGCAAAGAGAUCACUCAGAACGGUGCCUGAUAUUAUGCCAUAAAGAACUCACAUUUUUUAUUGUCCCUCUAGAUAUGUACGCACCUUUCUCUGUUGGAUGCAUGCACAAUUCUGAAUUAAGAACAAAUGACAUGUUGAUUAGCUAUCUUACAAAUGCUUUUCCGAGGGAAGUCGAUUAUGCAUAAAAAGGCACUUCUGUGAUGCUGUAUAAAUUAUGUCAUGGGCGGGAAAGCAAUUUUUGACCCCGUGAUUUCUCUGUACAUUAGGCAAUGCCGUGAAGUAACUUUUUUACGAAGAGGGGAGCCCAUCAAUUUCCCACUGGAUUUUCUGGUGUCCCGUUUUAUAAUAAGUUCUUUG
rnacentral:lncRNA from 1 species